CGGGGGCCCGCACAAGCGGCGGAGCAUGCGGAUUAAUUCGAUGCAACGCGAAGAACCUUACCAAGGCUUGACAUUCACCGGACCGCACUGGAGACAGUGCUUCCCUUCGGGGUCGGUGGACAGGUGGUGCAUGGUUGUCGUCAGCUCGUGUCGUGAGAUGUUGGGUUAAGUCCCGCAACGAGCGCAACCCUCGUUCUAUGUUGCCAGCACGUGAUGGUGGGGACUCAUAGGAGACUGCCGGGGUCAACUCGGAGGAAGGUGGGGAUGACGUCAAAUCAUCAUGCCCCUUAUGUCUUGGGCUUCACGCAUGCUACAAUGGCCGGUACAAAGGGUUGCGAUACUGUGAGGUGGAGCUAAUCCCAAAAAGCCGGUCUCAGUUCGGAUUGAGGUCUGCAACU
rnacentral:rRNA from 1 species